rnacentral:snoRNA from 1 species
AUACUAUGAUGGUUGCAUAGUUCAGCAGAUCAAAUCAUGAAGAGAUUUACCCUUUGUGUGAUGUAAAA